GACGAACGCUGGCGGCGUGCUUAACACAUGCAAGUCGAACGGUGAAGCGCCUUCCUUUUUGGUGGGUGUGGAUGAGUGGCGAACGGGUGAGUAACACGUGAGUAACCUGCCCCCUUCUUCUGGAUAACCGCAUGAAAGUGUGGCUAAUACGGGAUAUUCUGGGUCUGUCGCAUGAUGGGUCUGGGAAAGAUAUUGUUUCGGUGGGGGAUGGGCUCGCGGCCUAUCAGCUUGUUGGUGGGGUGAUGGCCUACCAAGGCGGUGACGGGUAGCCGGCCUGAGAGGGUGGCCGGCCCCAGGGGAAGGGAGACCCGCCCGGGACUCGGGGGGGGGCCGGAGGGGGGUAUUAGUGAACAGGGGGCGAAGGCGGGGUGCGGCGCCGCGGGGGGGGGGAUGGGGCCCUGGGGGUUGGGACCCUCUUUCGCGGGGGAGGCAGGCCGGCCUUUUUUGUGGGUGGUUUGAGGGUAGGUGAUAAAGAAGCCCCGGCUAACUACGUC
rnacentral:rRNA from 1 species